rnacentral:ncRNA from 1 species
AAAGUUGUUGCAGUUAAAUAGCUCGUAGUUGAAUCUUGGCCUGGUUUGGCGGUCGCGCUCUAGGGCGUGUACUGUCGGCCGGGUCUUUACUUGCGGGGAACGUGCGUGCCUCUCGGGGUGUGUACGGGAACCGUGGCUAUUACUUUGAAAAAAUUAGAGUGUUUAAAGCAGGCGUAAGCUUGUAUACAUUAGCAUGGAAUAAUAGAAUAGGACUUUGUUUUAUUUUGUUGGUUUCUAGGGCCGAAGUAAUGAUUAAUAGGAUAGUUGGGGCAUUAGUAUUUAAUAGUCAGAGGUGAAAUUCUUGGAUUUAUGAAAGACUAACUUCUGCGAAAGCAUUUGCCAAGGAUGUUUUCAUUAAUCAAGAACGAAAGUCAGGGGAUCGAAGAUGACACGAAUCUAGUAGAGAUCCUGUUAUCG